UACAGAGGUCUCAAGCGUUGUUCGGAUUCAUUGGGCGUAAAGGGUGCGUAGGCGGCGCGGUAAGUCGGGUGUGAAAUCUCGGGGCUUAACUCCGAAACUGCAUUCGAUACUGCCGUGCUUGAGGACUGGAGAGGAGACUGGAAUUUACGGUGUAGCGGUGAAAUGCGUAGAUAUCAGGAGGAACACCAAUGGCGAAGGCAGCUCGCUGGGACGGUACUGACGCUGGAGACGCGAAAGCGUGGGGAGCAAACAGG
rnacentral:rRNA from 1 species